GCUUGUCUCAAAGAUUAAGCCAUGCAUGUCUAAGUAUAACUCUUUUACUUUGAAAACUGCGAACGGCUCAUUAUAUCAGUUAUAGUUUCUUUGAUAGUCCCUUACUACUUGGAUACCCGUAGUAAUUCUAGAGCUAAUACAUGCAUCAAUACCCAACUGUUCGCGGAAGGGUAGUAUUUAUUAGGUAUAGACCAACCCUCCUCGGAGGUGCUUUGGUGAUUCAUGAUAACUUUGCGAAUCGCAUAGCUUUAAUGCUGGCGAUGGGUCAUUCAAAUUUCUGCCCUAUCAACUUUCGACGGUAGGAUAGAGGCCUACUGUGGUGAUAACGGGUAACGAAGAAUAAGGGUUCGAUUUCGGAGAGGGAGCCUGAGAAACGGCUACCACAUCCAAGGAAGGCAGCAGG
rnacentral:rRNA from 1 species